AAAACUACAAAUAGAACAUAAACCGGAAGACAUCAAGAAUCCAAAGUAACAAACAAAAAACCCAUGGCAGAAGCAAAAGACUAACAGGCACAGAAUCACCAACAGAAAACGGUGACAGAAACAAACAAUGAUCCCACACCGAGUCGUCGUGCCAGGAGGCCUUUUAAACAAACUAAUGACACAAUGACCAACAGGUGUGCAGCUGCAGGUGGAGCCCUACAGUGCCACCUGUUGGUCACAAACAGAACUAUGACGGCACAAAUGACACAAUGACCAACAGGUGUGCGGCUGCAGGCGCAGCCCUACAGUGCCAUCUGUUGGUCACAAACAACCAUGGCAGAUUCAUUGGAAAAAAGAGACAGCACAAUUUCUUGUGAAUCGUUUUGCCAAAUGGUAUGCCGUGAUUCCCCC